rnacentral:rRNA from 1 species
GUAGUCUGCAACCCGACUACAUGAAGCUGGAAUCGCUAGUAAUCGCGGAUCAGAAUGCCGCGGUGAAUACGUUCCCGGGUCUUGUACACACCGCCCGUCACACCAUGGGAGUCGGAAAUGCCCGAAGUCUGUGACCCAACCGAAAGGAGGGAGCAGCCGAAGGCAGGUCGGAUGACUGGGGUGAAGUCGUAACAAGGUAAC